rnacentral:lncRNA from 1 species
CUUGAAUUUAAAAGUCCUGUACUCAAAUUUUAAAGAUUAUUCAAUUUUCACCGUCCAUUUUGACAUAAUUUAUUUACUAAGUAAACGAUGUCGAAAAAAACUAAAAUUUUAUUCCUAAGAACUUUAUAUACCCUAGAUCAUAUUUAACGGUGUGGAUCAUUAAUUUGAACACCCUAAGAUCGAAAACAAGACUAUAGUACCAGAGCUCCGGUACUAUAGAUAGUAUAGUAACCUAAUUCUAGAGAGAGAGAGAGAGAGAGAUAUAUAUAUAUAUAUAUAUAUAUAUAUAUAUAUAUAUAUAUAUAUAUAUAUAUAUAUAUAUAUAUAUAUAUAUAACGUGUUGACAUAUUCAUAUGAAAAGAUUAGAAUUUAGAAUUUAAGAUAAAAUAAUAUUGCCUAGAAUUUAAUAAUGACAUUUGAGUUUUAGUAACGUGUUCAGUUUAAUGACUUAGCAGUUAUUUGUUCAGUUUAACGACUUGACGGUCAUNNNNNNNNNNNNNNNNNNNNNNNNNNNNNNNNNNNNNNNNNNNNNNNNNNNNNNNNNNNNNNNNNNNNNNNNNNNNNNNNNNNNNNNNNNNNNNNNNNNNNNNNNNNNNNNNNNNNNNNNNNNNNNNNNNNNNNNNNNNNNNNNNNNNNNNNNNNNNNNNNNNNNNNNNNNNNNNNNNNNNNNNNNNNNNNNNNNNNNNNNNNNNNNNNNNNNNNNNNNNNNNNNNNNNNNNNNNNNNNNNNNNNNNNNNNNNNNNNNNNNNNNNNNNNNNNNNNNNNNNNNNNNNNNNNNNNNNNNNNNNNNNNNNNNNNNNNNNNNNNNNNNNNNNNNNNNNNNNNNNNNNNNNNNNNNNNNNNNNNNNNNNNNNNNNNNNNNNNNNNNNNNNNNNNCAUUUUGACAUAAUUUAUUUACUAAGUAAACGAUGUUGAAAAAAACUAAAAUUUUAUUCCUAAGAACUUCAUAUACCCUAGAUCAGUUUUAACAGUGUGGAUCGUUAAUUUGAACACUCUAAGAUCGAAAAUAAGACUAUAGUACCGGAGCUCUGGUACUAUAGAUAGUAUAGUAGCCUAAUUCUAUAUAUAUAGAGUAUGGCUACUGUGCUAUUAGGAACAAAGCAGUCCUUAUGCUCCUAAGUUCUUAACCGCUCAUCAAAUUUGAUGGGUGGUUAGGGUGAAUGGGAGAAGAGUAAUUGGAGAGAAAUUCAAAGAGAAGAGAAAUUGAGAAACCCAAUUUCUCAAAUUUUGAAUGAAAUAGGAUUGAGGACAUUGUCCUAUCAAGUCGAUUUGAAUGAAAUGUUUAAAAACCAAAUUUUAUAAUAUUUAAAAAUCAUUAUCAAGCCUAUCGUCGAAGAAUCGAAAAAUAAACGGUCAUAAAUGAAUAACCUUCUUAAAAUAGAGGUUAGACUUUCUCAUUUCAUAAUCAGAGUUAUCAAACAUUAUCUAAAUAGUAUAAAAAAUUUUCUAUAAAAAAUUCAAGCAAUUUGGAUUACUCUACACUGUUAAGCAAGCAAAAACGGCUCAUAUAAGACGUCAAAAAUUGUCGAUUUUACGACACUUUGAUUACCAUGUAAAUAAUUUUUAAAAUUUAUAAAUUUAGUUUCUAGAUACUUCAAAUACUCUAGAUCAACUUCAACGGAGUUUUCUACCGUUAGAUCUACCCUUUGAUCAUUUCCACCCGUUAGAUUACACUAUUAAACCAACCACCCACUCAACCCUAGGGGACCACUAUCAAUUUUACUAGGGGCCACUAUCAUCCUAACCGCACAUCUUUUCAUUCAACGGUCGAAAACUCAAUAGUACCAAGGGCUUGGUACUAUUGAUAGUAUAGUAGCAUAUAUAUAUAUAAUAGAGUGAGGCUACUAUGCUAUCGGAAGCACGGAGCCUUCCGUAGCUUCCAGCUCUGUUUUUUAUGUUGCGACUUUCGAAUCGUCGAUCGGCUCCGUUAAACUUGAUCUAGCAGUAUUUAGAGUACGUAGAAAAUAAAUUUAUUAUUUUUCGAUAUCAUUUGCUAGUGAUCGAAUGGGCACAAAAUUAACAAAUUUCAAUGGCCGUAAGUGAGCCGUUUGCAAGUUUAUACGGUGUAGAAAUAUCCAAAUCACGUAAAAUUUUGAUAGAAAAUUCUUUAUACUAUAUAAAACAGAUCAAUAAUCUUUGAUUUAAAAUUUUAAUGUCAUAUUAUUACAUUUGUAAGAUUUUUAUUUUCAGCCGUUGAUUUUGAGCACUCUCGUUCACGUGGCAAAUGAUAUCGUAAAUCAUAAAAUUUAUUUUCUAGGUACUUCAAAUACUCUAGAUCAAGUUUUACGGAGCCGAUCGACGAUUCGAAAGCCGCAAUCGAAAACAAGCUGGAAGCACGGAAGGCUCGUUGCUCCGAUAGCAUAGUAGCUCAUUCUAUAUAUAUAUAUAUAUUAUAUAUAUAUAUAUAUAUAUAUAUAUCUAUAUAUAUAAUAGAUAUAGUAAGGUACUGUGCUAUUAGGAACAAAGCAGGACCUGUGUGCUCCUAAGUUCUUAACCGCUUCAUCAAAUUGGAUGGGUGGUUAGGGAGAAUGGGAGAAGAGUACUUGGAGAGAAAUUCAAAAAAAAAAAAAAGAAGAAAAGAAGAAAAAAUUGAAAAACCCAAUUUCUCAAAUUUUGAAUGAAAUAGGAUUGAGGACAUUGUCCUAUCAAGUCGAUUUGAAUGAAAUGUUUAAAAACCAAAUUUUGUAAUAUUUAAAAAUCAUUAUCAAGUUCAUCUUAAGAGUUGAAAAAUGAACGGUCAUAAAUGAAUAACCUUCUUAAAAUAGAGGUUAGACUUUCUCAAUUCAUAAUCAAAGUUAUCAAACAUUAUCUAAAUAGUAUAAAGAAUUUUCUAUAAAAAAUUCAAGCAAUUUGGAUUACUCUACACUGUUAAGCAAGCAAAAACGGCUCAUAUAAGACGUCAAAAAUUGUCGAUUUUACGACACUUUGAUUACCAUGUAAAUAAUUUUUAAAAUUUAUAAAUUUAGUUUUUAGAUAUUUCAAAUACUCUAGAUCAACUUCAAUGGCUCUGAUCAUCGAUUCAGAAUCUCUAUCAUCAAGAUCAAUUUGAUAGGAUAAGUGCUACUAUCCUAUUAAUAGAAUAAUAGCCCUAGUCUCUCUAUAUAUAUAUAGAACUAGGCUGAAAUACUAUCAAUAGCACCAAACUAUUGGUGCUAUUAGUUUUUUACCCCUUUGAUUGAGAAAUGUGCUGGUAGGAUGAUGUGGGCCCACUACGGUUGAGUGGGUAGUGGGUUGAAUAGUAUAAUUUAACGGGUAAAAAUAAUCAAAGAUUUAUAACUUGAUAGCACUAAGCCCUUUGUGCUAUCGCUAUUAUCCCAACCGAACUCUAUAUAUAUAUAUAUAUAAAACUGAUUCGGUGUUCCGAAUCUAUCCCCCCCUUUUUCUUUCUUUCUAUGCGUCCAUUCUAAUCAGCCAAAAAUCAGCCAAAAUUCGUUUUUAUGAUCUGCUCCCGAAUAAAGUGGUAAAAUGGGGGGCAAAAAUAAGGAUAAAAAUCAAUCUAUUUCGAUCUACCAAAUAAACGGGACGGAAGGCGGUAGGACUUCUCUCGCUUUCAUAUCUGCUCCGUUUGCAUCCCAAAUCACUCCCGGCAUCGCAAAUAGCAACUGCGAGAAGCGACAAGGAGUCAACCACGCUGCACCAUUCCCACAUGGCUCACCCAAGCAUACAUUCUGGCCCAGCUCGGUUCACACUCCCCCUGUGCCUAAACCCUAAUAAGGACAACAAAAACGUCUCUCUCUCUCUCUCUCUCUCCAUCACUUUUCUCUCUCUAGAUAUAGAGCGGACAAAGUAUGGGUACAGCUCACAACAUGGAAAUGCAGGAGAAGAGAAACACAGGAAAGCAAAAAAAAAAAAAGUAAUGCUAUGCGUACCCCUUAUUUGCGGAUGCAAACGGAGCGGAUCAGAGGGGCGGGAGGGGUCCCUCACCUCUCGCUUCAUUUUUUGUCGGGGCUGAUUCGGGACGGUUUAAUUUUAGUCAUGUUUUUUGGCCCUAACUUAUGGCUCCAUUCAUAGCGCAUUGGAGUAGGAGCAGUCUUUCAACGGAUCGUGAUGGAUCAAAUGAAAAAAAAAAAUUUUCACCUCUUGCUCCAUUUAUUUGAUAGAUUGGGGUGGAUUUGAGACGAGGCAUAAUCGCACUCACGGCCCCAUUCAGGCUGAUCGGAAUGGAAGCUCCACCAAUCCGGAUCCGUCUGCAUCCCUACCCUUAUUUAUUGCACUGCUACUUACGGUUAUGUAAAAGAUUAGGGGUGAGAAAGAUCGAAUGCGGUCAGAUUUUUGACAAAAUCAUAUUUGCUUUCAUAUAUUUCUUCGAGUGCGAAUUCAUAUAUGUAUUGAAUGUUAAAUUUUCGUUACUAUGUUCUUUAACAAUGAAUGCAGGUUCAGAUAUGGAUUAAGUUUAUACUCUAACAUUAUUCAAAUAAUAUAUAAAUAUGAACUAGAAUUAACGCGAAUAUAAUAUAAUGCAACUAAAAUUUUACACACAUAUUCCAUUUCACAUGCCUACAUAUUAUUUAAUAAAAAAAAAUGAUUCAAAAUCACCAUAUCUCCCUACUAGCUAGGGAUGAAAACAAUCGAAAACGAUCGGAUCUUUAACGAAACUAUAAAAGUAUUCAUAUUUUUUCGAAUACGGAGAUUCAUCGAAUGCUAAAUUUUGACAUUCGUAUUCGCAUUCUAUCGAAUUCAGAGUCGAAUAUGCGCGAUGAAACUACGAGGGGAUCUUUGAGGGUGCCUGUGCCCAGGUUCGAAGGGGUGGGUUCGUGGCUCACAUGCGAUGUCGCGGUACGCGACCGUGAUUUGCACAUGCAUGCAUCCCCAUUUAUAGGGAAAUUUUUUGAGAGAACAAGAGCAUGUAGUUUUUCCCGUGUCCUGCACCUGCGCACGUGCAUGGGUACGUGCGUUACGUGCUUUACAUUAAUGUUGAUGACGAUGGUAUAUUUUUCGGCUUAAUUACAAAUGUCCCCUUGUACUUUAGGUCAUGUUUUUUUUUUUAAUUUUUAUUUUUUUACCUCUUGUAAUAUAAUUAAAAGUGCAUCAAUUACCUCCUGUGUUUUGCUACUUCAAUUUCAGUGGAGAGCUCCUCAACGACGCCUUGCAAUCAAAUUGCAAUGGAGUCCUGAUCGGUCGCCUCGUGCCCACUUUUAUUUCUAUCCAAGUGUGAUAAUCGUUGGGUUUAAUUUUCUUUUUGGAUUUUAUAAAUAUUAAAGAAACAUCCAACAAAUUAUUGGAUAGAGGUAAAAAUUAACAAGUGACAACAGAUCGGGUGCUCUUCCACAAGGCGUUAUUGGAGAGCUCCCCUAUGAAGUUUUAUCGUUGUGAUGGUACCCUAAUGUUUGAAGUGUCUCAGUUCGCUAUUCUGUGAUUUUUACUCGUAUGACGCCGUUAAGACUGUCGUUAAGUAUGGUACUGAAUUAAAAUAUUUUAUAAUUUAGUACAAUACUUAUAAUAUAUUUAUCUAUAUCAUUCAAAAAGGGUUCUUAAAAAAUUAAAAUAUUUAUCAUCUUAUAUAUUUAAUACAUAAAAAAAUAAAAAAUAUUAUUUUCUUGAAUGAGACUCUUAUACACACAUGCGAGACUUGUAGCUGCAGCGGUAAUACAUAAUAAAUAUUAGUCCUGAGAUUGGAUUUUUUUUGAAAUAUUGGUUUGGGGUAAAUUAUUAUUUUAUAACUUAUAUGUCAAUUCUACAUAUCUUUGUUUUAUCCUAAUUAUUUGCUUAUGAUAUUGAUCUUUUUUGGUACCAUUAUAAAUGAUUAGAGCUAGGUGAUAUGAAAUUCUAGGAAAAUUAAUCAUCCUCAGCUAAUAUUUUGCAUAAAUUUACUAAUAAGAAGAUUAUCACCGUCCAUUAUUUAACACAAAUAAAAAUAAUGCUUGAAUACCGACCGUCCAUAGAGCAAGUGGCAAAGGGUUUGGUGGUUGGUAUCCGAGACCUGAGUUCGAAUUCUGGUUGAUUCAUAUUUCCAGCUAAAUUUAUUUCUAAAUGAAAUAAACGAAGCGGGUAGCGUGCUACCUAUCUCUCUAAAAUAAUAAUAAUAAUAAUAAUAAUGCCUGAAUCUUAGUGACUGCAUGUUGACCAUUUCAAGGAAUUAAUCAAGCAAUUCGGAAAGGGGUCAAAGAUGGGUUGAUGGCCAGUGCCCCCUAUAGCUAGGCCACCUAAGAAGCACACAGGUUCAGUCAAGUUGCACACACUUUCAUAACACUGAGGUACCCUCAUUUGUUUUAUCUUUUCCUUUUUUUUUAAAAAAAGUGCUACAAUUUAAAGUUUAAAAGAAUUUUUAAAUACUUGGAAGCGCGAAUGAUAUACACUUAUAGAAUUACUGUGCUAUUAGGAGCACUUUUCUAAUCAUUUAUUAAAUUUAAUGAGUGGUUAGAGUGAGAGAAAGAAGAGAAAUUAGAGAGAAAUUAGAUUUCUCAAUUUUUCUUUUCUUUAAAUUUCUCUCUCUUUUUUUUUUUUUUUCUCCCAUCCUAAUUACUCAUCAAAAUUAAUGAACAGUUAGAAAUUUAGGAGCAUAAGAAUUAUUGUGCUCCUAAUAGCACACUAGCUUUGCUCUCUCUGAGUAGGACUACUGUGCUAUUAGGAGCACGGCAACCCUUAUGCUUCUAAUUUUCUAAUCAUCCAUCAAGUUUAAUGGGUGGUUAGAAUGAGAGAGGAAAGAGAUAUUGGGGAGAAAUUCAAGAAGAAGAGAAAUUGAGAGACCCAAUUUCUCCCCAUUAUCGCUUUCCUCUUUCAUGAUAACCACCCAUUAAACUUGAUGGGUAGUUAGAAAGUUAGGAGCACAAGGACUGCUGUGCUCCUAAUAGCACAGUAUCCCUACUCUCUCUCUCUCUCUCUCUCUCUCUCUCUCUAUAUAUAUAUAUAUAUAUAUAUAUAUAUAAUUAGACUGGAAUACAAUUAAUAGCAUCAAGCUAUUUGUGCUAUUAGUUUUUUUGCCGUUGAAUUUAGAAAUAUACGGUUAGGAUGAUGUGGGCCCCUAGGAUUGAGUGGGUGGUUGGUUGAAUAGUAUAAUCUAACGGGUAAAAAUAAUCAAAGUGUUAAAUCUAAUGGUAGAAAACUCGAUAGCAAAUUUGGUGCUAUUGAUAGUAUCCCAGCCGGACUCAUAUAUAUAUAUAUAUAUAGAGAGAGAGAGAGAGAGAGAGUUUCAUUCGUUCUAAAAUUACUUUAGCUCUAGUAUAUUUAAUCUUCUUAAAAUGCUAUAGUCGUGUUAAAAGUUUUAAUUUUAUUAUAUUAUAUAUAUAUAACUAUUCAAAAUUUUAGGAGUCACAUAUUUUCGUGCUUUACGCUCUGACGUACUCAUUAGCUCAAGCACACUCAGAAGCAACGUAUAAAUAACAAUUAUUUUUUUAAAGAGACUUUUGCUUAUUUAUUUUUGACUACUGUUCAAAAUUUUUAGUUCUAAAAUUAAUAAGAUAUCCUUUUUAAACCCAAAUCUCAUUUGUAAACCCUAUAAAAGAAUUUGGAAAUACUUGAAGGGAUAUUUGAAAUUCAAUAAAAAUAGUUUGGUCAAUCGGAAAUAUAUUGGAUAUUUUGGAGUCUUGAAUGAUAUAUCAAAUAUUAUCCCUUUUUAAAAUUAUAUAGAGUUGAAAGAGUACUGAUAUUCGCACACCAAGUUUCUAGGUGUAAAUCAUGCAUCCUAACUUUUCAAAAAAAUCAAGAUAUACGCACUUGUCUCAUCAACCAUUUUUUUUAAUAUUAAAAAUUUAGAAACCGAUGGAGGAUAAGAUGUACACUCUAUAAUUGAAUACCCGAAAAGCAUUUUCCUAAUUAAAAAUAGGGGCAAUUUCACCACUACCCCUCUCAAAUAUGAAAAUAUCAUAAAUACCCCUACAAAAUUGAAAAUAUCAUAUAUACCCCUUCAAAUGCAAAAUUUUUUCACAAUUACCCUUCCAUCUAACGACUGUUACUUAAACUAUGGUUGAAGUUGGGUUAAAUAAAAGUUGAGUUACAAAAUGACUAAUUUAGCCCUAAAAAGGUUAGGUAUUAUUUUGAUAGCAAAUAAUGAAAUAAUUAAGGGGCAAUUUCAUAAGUACCCUUCUAAAUUUUAAAAAUACAAUAGACAAACCUUCUUUCACUUAUCGCAUUUCGACUCUCUAUUUAACUAUAAAUAAUAAUAAAAUGUGAAAAAGAAGUAUUAACUGAAAUGAGACUCCAUUCAGUUUUAGUUAAUACCAUAAAACUUUUAAAACUCAGAGCUAGCUUCUAUUUCAAUAUUACUUGGUUUUAUUCAUAAAUAUCAAUUUUUGAUCCUUUUUGAAGUUUUUGGGGGGGACACCAAAGUAUGUAAGAGUGAAAUCAUGGGACACCAAAUUUUGCAUAGUUAAACGGGGGGACACCAAAGCAAAAAUAGAAAAGUCUUCGAAAAAGCAAUUAUAAAGCAAUUUAAUAUAUGUUUUUUGAAGUCUAUUGGUAGAUACAAAUAACUUAUAAGUGAAAUCAUAGUAAAUUAAAAUUAAAACAGUGACUAAAUUCUUUUUUUAUUAUUAUUUUAACUAUUGUUUUUCUCUUUUUACUUUGGUGUACCCCCGUUUAACUAUGCAAAAUUUGGUGUCCCAUACUUUCACUCUUACGUACUUUGGUGUCCCCCUCAAAAACUUCAAAAAGGAUUUUUGAUGAAGUAGGGAGAAGUAAAAACCACUUUGUUUACGUGAGAACUGCCCCAAUUCAAACUCGUAUUCGCAUGAUAUGCGGAUAGACUAUCGAAACAUGAACUUGAAAAGCAAUUGUGAAACGAACUGUUGUUUAAAAUUAUCUUAAGUUAAUUUUAAUAAAUCCUCAAUAAAAAACAAACUUGCACACGUUAACUUUUUUUUUUUCUUUCUUUACGAUAGGUAUGUGAUAUAUAUUCACAAUAUGUACCGGAAUGACACCAGAUAUAAUUAGGUGAACAGAAUAGUUAAAAUAAAUUGAUUUUGAGGUUUCUUCGACAUAGUUAAUAAUUAACCUAAGUUUCUACAUUAUACAUGUGGGAUAUUUAUUCCUCAUAUAUUUAUCUUGAAAAUAGCAGUCUAACAAAAUCCAAAGUGAUGUUUGUUUCAUUAACACUACAAAUUAUUUUCAAGGUCCUCGUUUAAUUAAUUUUUCAUAUUCGUUGUCAUACUUAGUUUAAUAUAUACAUCCGUUCGAUGUGUUCAAAAUACGUUCGUAUUUAAGUUUAGCUCUCGUGAAUUUUAACUCUAGAGUUGGUAGUUUACACUAGUGCUUGUAUUUUUUACGUACGAGUAUUAAUUUUAAAAAUAUUAAAAAUUUUUUAAUUAAAAGUUACGUUUUUCACCACAAUUUUAUUUUUUGGACCUUAAAUGUUCUUUCUGGUCAAAACUUUUGAGUUCUAUUUCCAUAGUUGUUUAUAUAUAGAAAAAAUGGCGAUCCCGAUAAUAUGAAAAUAUUCACAUUUAGGAAAGAGUAUGCAAAAGUUAGGAACCUACUUUCCUAUACGCCAAUCCUACAAUCACCAGGGGAUCCCAACUCACCAACUAACCAACUUAUUAUGUACUAGAUUGUCUACUUUUACCAGUUUCCUCAUCUAGAUUGCCAGCUUUUUAAUAUUUGUGUUUUAUCUGUUAUGAGCAUUCUCAUAUCAUCGGCCUGUGUAAAGAUAUACAAUUUAUUAUGCUUUGAAACAAGAAUUUUUUAAAUUCGAUUAUAACUUGCCAAAAAAAUAUACAAAUAAAUUGUAAGGGAAAACUCAGACCCGAGCUUUAAAAAAACUAUUUAAGUACUACGCUUGAGUAUUGGAAGACAUAUUAUGUUACAAUUUUUUAUGCUUUGUUAGUAAUUAAAGACUUUCGAUUGAAUUCGAUUAUCUUUUUGCCAUAAAAUAUAAAAAAUAAAUUGUUAUAUCAAUUAUUUAGAGUAUACGACUUUAAUCUAAUAUUCAGCUUAUUACCUAACUGAUCUUUUUAAACAUACAAAAAAAAAAAAAAAACCCACUUUCUCUUUCUAUUGUUAGAUAAGUAAAACAAACAAGAAAAAUAUUUAUUUGAUCUUUAUAUUUUGUUCCUUAUUAAAGUAGUUAUGGGGAUACUUUUUAGUAUUAAAGUACCUAUUGGGAGAUUUGACUUUUUAUAGUAGUUAUGGGGAGAUUUUGGGUUUUUAUAAGUGUCUAUGGGAAAUCGAAUUGAAAGUCAGUUUACCAGCAGGUUAUAAAAUAUUUAUGGUUAAAAUGGGGAUCGUUGUUAAAUUUGUAAAUUAUAAAUUCUAAUUAAUAUACUAGUUAAAAAUUGUAAACUUAGUGUAUUAUUAAAUUGUAAUAAAGAUUUUAUAAUGUUAAUUUCUAGGUAUCAGAUAAUUCACACUAUCAAUUUAGAGUAAUACUAAAAAGCGAAAAUUUAAUAUGUAUCAAUAUUACGUUAAACAGAUGUCAUCUUAAGUUGUAAUUGAUAAAUUUCUAAAUAAAAAUUUUUAAAAUAAAUUUAUUGAGUGUAUAGAGUACGAUUUUUAUAAAACUAUAGUUUUAAGAGAUAUAAUCUCAUAAUGAAUAUACUAGACGAAUUUGUUUUAAAAAAAUUAACUUUUAAAUAACAAUUGUUAUUUCAUUUUAAAAUACUUUUGGGAGAGUAGAUAUCAAGUGAAGCUGUACUAGCAUUGAGUCUUUUCGCACUUUAAAUUAAAAGUCUAUCAAAUUUACCAAAUAUAGUAUAAAUUGCCACGAUUAACAGUUAAACCUUUAGGAUAGUAGCUUUUGUUUAGUAUCAUUGGGUUCAACAUGAUGGCUAUCAUAAUAUUGUUUUGAGAAAUAUAUAUAUAUGGGAGAGUUGGAUUCACAAAAAAAUUUUUUUAAAAUCGUUAACUCACAAAAAAAGGUUGUUUUAAUUUUUAAAAUAGUUUAAGUACGCUCCCUAGAGUUAAUUUUUUGAAAAUUGAUUCAUUUCAGUUUUAUUUUUUUUGACUAUCAAGUUCCAGAGAAAAUCACAAUUUUUUAUUUUGAAUUUCCCAAGAUCAAGUUUUACUAAAUGUUCACUCCCCAAAGAAAUAAAAAAUGGGUGAUUAUUAAUCAUGAUCUCUAUAAUNAUAUAUAUAUAUAUAUAUAUAUAUAUAUAUAUAUAUAUAUUGAGAGAGAGAGAGAGAGAACUAGGCUGGAAUACUAUUAAUAGCAUAAAUGACAUGGUGCUAUUAAGUUUUCCGCCCUUGGAUUAAAAAAUGUACGGUUAUGAUGAUGUGGGCCCCCAAGGGUUGAGUUGGUGGUUGGUUGAAUAGUUAUAAUCUAAUGGGUAAAAAUAAUCAAAGGGAUUAAUCUAACGGCAAAAAAUUUGAUAACAGCAACUACUUCCAAGUUGGUAUGCUUAUGGAAGCACGGAGCCCUCCGUGCUUAUGGAAGUAUGGAGCCCUCCGUUAGAGUUGAUCUAGAGUAUUUGAAGUACCUAGAAAAUAAAUUUUGCGAUUUUUCGAUAUCAUUUGCCUAGUGAUCGAAGGGGCUCAAAAUCAAUAAUUUUAACGGCCCUGGUGAGCCGAUUGCAAGUUUAACGGUGUAGAAAUAUUCAAAUCACAUGAAAUUUUGAUAGAAAAUUCUUUAUACCAUAUAAAACAAGAUCAAUAACUUUGAUCUAAAAUUUUAGUGUCAUAUCAUUAUAUUUUCAGCCGUUGAUUUUGAGCCACUUCGAUCACUAGGCAAACGAUAUCGAAAAAUCGCAAAAUUUAUUUUCUAGAUACUUCAAAUACUCUAGAUCAGGUCUAACGGAGCCGAUCGUCGAUUCGAAAGUCCGAACAUCAAAAACAAAGUGGAAGCACGGAGCCCUUCGUGCUUCCAUAAGCGUCCUAGCCGCACUCUAUAUAUAUAUAUAUAUAUAUAGAGUCCGUCUACUGUACUUUCGAAAGUACCGGGACCUCCGUACUUGUAAGUUAUUUUCGAUAAUAGGACAUCCGAUUCGAUGAUCGGCUCCGUUAGGUAUAAUCUACCCUAUUGGAACUAUCUGGAAACCAAAUUUUAUAAUUUUUUGACAUCAUUUACUAAGCGAUCAAAAGGUCCCAAAAAUGACUAUUUUAACGGCCGAUGCGGCACGUUUUUAAGUUCAACAGUGUAGAAAUAUCCAAAUUACAUGAAAAUUUAAAAGAAAAUUCUACUUAACGUCAAUAGCAAGAUCAAUACUUCCGAUUUGAAAUUUGAGUCAUUUAUCAUUGUUCUUUAUGAGAUUUUUAUUUUCAGCCGUUUAUUUUAAAGCUACUCAUUCACUAGAUAAACGAAGUCAAAAAUUAUAAAAUUUGGUUUCUAGAUAGUUCCAAUAGCGUAAAUCAUGUCUAACAGAAUCGAUCGCCGAAUCGAAUGUCCCAUCAUCGAAAACAACUUACAAGUAGGGAGGCCCCCGUACUUUCAAAAGCAUAGGAGUCUGGCUCUCUCUCUCUCUCUCUCUCUCUCUCUCUAUAUAUAUAUAUAUAUAUAUAGCACUUAAAUAUAAGUAGUAACUCCCAAGUAUAUUGAAGAGAGAUUAAAUACCUCCUGUCUCCUUAAAACUUGGGUUCUGUUUGGUCUUUAUGGUCCCAAUUAUUUUCAUUGCAGAAUCUUUAUCAAAGGAGAUGCAAAAAUGGUGAAAAGGGACACAUUUUUAGUCUUAGUUUAAGUUAUAUUAUGCAUGAGAAAUUUCAAAUUAGGCUAUUAUAUUAUUAAUAGUACCAAGCGCGUAUUAUUAGAAUUUCAGUACUUGGAUAAAAAAAUGUGCAGUUAGGAUGAUAAUGAUCCUCAGUUAGUAUUAUAGCGAUUCCUUUAGAGUUGAGUGGUGGUUGGUUGAAUAAAAUGAGUUAACAGAUAAAAAUAAUCGAUGAGAUAGAUUUAACAGCAGAAAACUCGAUAUCACCAACCAUUUAAUACUAUCGAUAAUGCAGUAGCCAGACUCGAAAAAUAUAUUUAUUUUAUACCGAUAGAAAGGUAAGAAAAAGGCAAAUAGUGUCCUGGUAUAAGGAGCUUCCAUAAAAUUAAUCUAACACAUCUUACUCUGCCGCUGCAAGAGUAGAAGUUUCCGAUUAGAGACCGUCUCUGAAAGCCAAAAAAGCUCAUCACUUGUUGCUGUGACAACAAUUUGGAGAUUUAUUUUUUUUGCUUCUAUUUUGGUUGUUUGAGUUUCAAUUUACAUUGUAUUUAUGACCACAAACAAAAUAAAAAAUUCUGUUUGGUUUAUUAUAAUUGUAUCUAGAUGGAGGGUGUAAGAUCAUGGCCCCCUUUUAGGGUGUAAAAGCAGGAUUUCCCAAUAAUAAAAUCCACAAAUGAAAUUUCCCAAUAAUAGUGUUUUCUUUUUUUGCUAUCAGCCAUUAAUAAUUAUCAAAAUGCACAACUAUAUAGUCAUUAAAUUUAAUAAAACCACUAUUAGUUUCACCAAAUCCAGUUACAAGAAUAAAACACUUGGGGGCUAUAAAUCAAAAAGAGAAUACUUGAGGGACCUAUUUCAUAAUGGCUUACAGUAGAGCAGUUGCUGGUAAAUUUCUACCAACAGUUUCAUUGGAAGAAGAAACAUUACCUGAUAACCUCCAAACCACACAAUUAAGAACUCUGUUUUUUACUUCAUGCAAGAAAUAUACCAAUUCAUUUUAAAAUCGUUUGGUUCGGAUAUAAGUAAAAACUAGCUAUUACGGAGAUAGAUACAAGUACGGGAAUAAGAAAAAUAGCAUUUGGAUAAAAAUUAAGUUGUUCCUGGAGAUAAGAAAAAUAACGUUUGAAUACAUAAUAUGAAAUAAGAAAAAUAAUGGAUAGUUAUAUAUAGAAAAUGAAGGUUGGUUGGGAUAGUUAUACCAACUUAUUUUAGAUACUCGAGAACUACUAUUCUCGGAUAAAAAAUUAGCGUUUGGAUAUAAAGGAGGUCCCAAUCCAAACGGGUUAACCACCAGAGAUAAUACCAAGCAAAUUAGUCACUCUGAGAUUUUUAUGUGAAAAUAUCCAAGCACAUUGUAUAAACAACACCAUCUUUAAUUUCGCAUGCCACUCUAGUAGAGCUGUUUCAAGAAGCACUAAUAUUUAAAUAUUUUUUAUUAAAGUUUAGCAGUUGGUUUCUAGUUCUGGAACUAGAGAUCUAAUCUAAAUACACAAGAUUCCACUAGAAGAAGCAACCACCAAAGUUAGAGGACUUUUCUAUAUCCUAAACAUUACAAGAUAACUCAAAGCACUUGCAUAAUAAUAAUAAGCCAUUAAAAGGAAAUGAAUCAACUAAAACAACAUCCUAUUGUGCUGUUUAACCUUUUGAUCUUAUUCAGGUCUAUCCAAGAACAAAUUAGUCAGUAGUUUUGCAUAUUUAUAUAUAUAUAUAUAUAUAAAAAGGCCCCCCCUUGCCCAAAAAUUCAAUACCACAAAUUACACCAAGAACACAAUUCAAAACCCCAAUAGAGAGUGAGAGAACAAGGAAGAUGAUGAUUUGGAUGGGAAAUUCACCAAAUUGCGAAUUAGGUACUAACUAACUAACUAGCUCUUCAAAGCGUAAACCAAGAGAGAGAACCCCUCACCUCGCUGCAUCUCCACCUCCUCGGCGCUGGCCCAAUCCAUGACCGUCGAUCCGCUGAUCGUCGACGCGGUCGACGAUGCCGUCGACGACGAGGAGCUCGUCUUCAACAAGCUCUUCUUCUUCCUCCUGCUUCUCCUCCUCUCGCCGCCGCAGCUACUGCUCUCGCUCCAAUUCCGCCUACUAAGCUUCCCCAGGUACUCCCCCACGACUCCCCCGUAGCCCCCGAAGCUGCUCCCCCUCUUCUUCCCCAGCGCCGAACCCUCGCUCUCGCACUUCGUUUUGGGGUCCCCUUGGGUGGAUUCCCUCUCGAAGCGGAACACGAACACGGCGCGCGGCGGAACGGCGCCGCCCGGCGGGGGGAGAUGCGGCGCGGUCGCGUCGCGCCAGGCCUGACGAGCGCCCCGGGGCGGGAAGAGCCAGCUGUGGAGGUCCCAAGAGAUCUGGAUGGGAGAGGAGUCGACGUCGACGGUGUCGCUGCCGCGGAACUUCCAGCGGAGGCGGCGGACGUGGAGGACGCGGGAGCCGUCGACGGCGAUCGACAUCGCCAUGUCCUCCCCCUUGCCCUUGCCCUUGCCCUUCCUCUCCUUCUCCUUCUCCUUCUCCUUCUCCUUCUCCUUCUCCUUCUCCUUCGACGUGAGGGUGAUGGUGAUCUCCCUCUCCUUGCCCCCGAACAGCGCCGAGGUCGCGUACGACCGCACCCCGCUACGCGCGUCCCGCCGCAUCGCCACGUGCUCCCGCCGCGAGAUCAGGAGCGCCUCCCCGCGCGGGGCCGAUCGCGCCGCCGCCCUCUUGUAGGCCUCGCCGCGGAGGUCGCCGGCGACGAGGGCGGCCUCGCCGUCCACGGCGACGGCGACGAAGUACCCUCCGGCAGGCUCCGGGGCCCCGCCCGGGGGGAACCGCGCGCGCGUGAGGUCCCACGCGAGCUCCACCGUCUGCGGGCCGCCGCCGCCGCGGCGAUCGCCGAGGUGGAAGCGCUUUGAGCCGCGGCGCUUCCAGAAGAGCCAGGGGCGGAUCCGGAAGGCGAGGGGCUCCUCCUCGUCGUCGCCGUCGCCAUCGUCGCGGAGGCGGAGCUCGGCGAGCAGGCAGAGGCCGAGGGCGGUGCGGGACCAGGAGAGGGAGACCAAGCCGAGGCGCGUCUCGUAGACGGAGGUGGAUCAGCUCCGGCAUCGUCUUCUCGCUCCUCCUGGCUUCCUAAUUCUAUACAGAGUUCGAUCGACAAAGCUAGGGUUUCGCAAAUCCCAAGCACAGGUUAGAGAGAGAGAGAGAGAGAGAGAGAGAGAGAGAGAUGUUUUUUUUUCCGAAGGAAAAUUCGAAGCAUAGAGAGAGAAAGAGAGAGGGGGUGGGAAUAAAUACGGAUGUUGGAAGGAGCGUGUGGUGUUCACCACGCACCGGGUGGUGACGGUAAACAAGGCAAGACCGUAGAACGAGCUGGGCCCCACUGAUCUCCCAGUGGACCCGCCAAAGUAUUUCCUAGACCCGGUUCACCACGUCAGCUAAUAAGUAGUACAUUAUAAAGUUGGUGUUGUUUUAAGUUAGAGCAAUAUCUUCAGUCAGACCCAAAAGAUAUAAAUCUUACACUCUAUAAUCUAAGAUUUAUUAUUGUAUUUAUAUUUUACCAUUUUAUUUAUACUAUUUAAGCUUUGUUUGGGAUUGCAUAAAAAUUAUGUUACGUACGGUGAGAAAGUAUAAUUAGAAAAUACUAUGUUUGUUUUUGUAUAUAAUAUUGCAUUCCGUAUAUUGCGAUGAGUCGGCUACGAUAUAUUUUCUACAGUCCCACUGGAGAAUAUAGAAAUAUAUCUCUAUAUACUUUUACUCAAACUCUAUUUUAUCUAAAUAGCGUCAAAUAGAUCUGAAUACCAAACUAAGUCUUAAAAUCUUAAAAGAUUUCUAAAUUUUAGAACGUGGGGCCUAAAAUGUAGACUUUCUUUUUUCUGAAAAUAUAUAGUUAUCAUUUUUUUUAGAGUUAGGUCUAGUUUGAAAUUGCGGUAUUCAGAUCUAUUUGACGCUAUUUAGAUAAAAUAGAGUUUGAGUAAAAUAGAUCUGAAUACCAAACUAAGUCUUAAAAUCUUAAAAGAUUUCUAAAUUUUAGAACGUGGGGCCUAAAAUGUAGACUUUCUUUUUUCUGAAAAUAUAUAGUUAUCAUUUUUUUUAGAGUUAGGUCUAGUUUGAAAUUGCGGUAUUCAAAACAUUCACUUUUAUACUUUACAAGGCUCGACAAAUUAAAAAAUCUACAAUUUUUCUCCUUAGUUACAUUUUGGUGGUAGAGAGAAAAAAUAUGAAAAAUGCUUUCGAAUUGUUUGAGUAUUUUAGACACUAUUAUUAGUAAAAAUUAAAAAUAUAAGUGCAGCCAAAUAUACCAUAAGUAUAAAUCAUCAUUACAUGCAAUUUAUAACUUAACAAUAAUCUACUUUUGAGAGGCAUAUGUUACAAAAUAUAAUGUCAAAUGAUGAAAUAUUUUUUUCAAAGUCAAAAGUGUUAGUGAAUUUAGCGGCAACCGUCAUUGUAAUUUAUAUUAUUGGAAAAUAUAAAUUAUUGGAAAAGAAAAGAUCGUAAAUACUCUUGAAUUUUUUAAAUAUUUUUUAAAUCAUAAAAGCAGUUGUUUUUUUGAAAAAUACAAUGGCAAAUUAGGCCAUACUUUUAUUUAUAUAGAGAAAUAUUUCAAAAUAGAGUUUUAAAAUUAUGGUUUUUUAGCAUUAUAGACCAUUGUAGGAUUGUGUUUGAGGAGCUGGGUUCAUGGUGGACCCAGUCUAGGCAAUAAUUACCUUGUGGACCCCACUCCACCCAACUGUUAUUGGCUCAAGUGUGGUUGGAUCCAUGGCUCCUGAGACUCUUCUCAGAUUCCACCAUUUCACCAUUCCAGCUUAUACAUGCUAAUACUUUACUAAUCAAUCACAUUAAUAAUAAUUAAUUAGGUAUAGCAAUUAAUAGGGGUAUAAUUAUUUUCAAAUAUAGGAAAAAAAAAAGGAACUCAAAAAAUUAAAAAUUUCACAAAAUUCACGAACAACUACAUGCACAUAAAACCAUCGAAUCUCACCGUUUAAGAAGCUGCAGUAAAAUUCAUAGAAUCGUGUGGUUUACAAAAUGUAGCAUUUUUUAAAAACUGAUAAAUAUGUAUUUCAUAUAAGAUUUAUAUCUAGUCAAUAUUAAGUCAUCCAAAUUCGCGACUAAAAAUUCGAGACUCCGUGUAUGCUUAAAUUUGAGACUAGAACUUUCUAUUUCGAGUUUAAAAUAUUUUAAAGAGUUUCAAGGAUAUGGGGUCUACAAGCAGGGUCUAAAAAAAAUUUCUACAUAGUUGCAUAAGAUAAUAAAAUGGUAAGCAUAGAUUAAAAUGAUGUCCAUUAAAAUUUAUUCUUGUAUUUCUAUACGACUAUUUAUUUAUUUAUUUAUUUAGAGGUAAUUGCUUAUAUAUUUUUGAAAUAUUUUCGGCUUUCUUAUUUAUCUCUUUUAAAAGAUUAAUAUUAAAAAUACCUUUUUAACGUUCCUUGUUAUUUCAAAUACAUUUCUAAAAUUAAAUUCUGUUAGUAAACUGUUAGCGACAGCUAUUAUCUUUGUGAAAACACUAUUUUGCUCUUUCAAAUAUGUUCUUCUACCGUCACAAACUUUUCUUUUUUGCCCUUGAGUUAGAGCAAAAAAAAGUAUUUUAAUUUUUUAUCUUUUUAAAUAUACUUUUCUACUAUCGCCAACUUUUCUUAUUUGUCCUUAAGUUAGGGGCAAAAUAAGUAUUUUGAUUGUUUUUUGACUCUAGUAAAAAUUUAACCUGAGUCAACAGAGGUAUUUUUGAGUAACGAAGAAAUAUACGAGGAGUAUAUCUAAAACAAAAAAAAAAGUAAGAAUAUAUUAGAUAUUUCAGAAGUUUUCGGAGAUAUAUUAGAUAUUAUUCCUAUUUAUUAGCAUUUUUAAGAGAGAGAGAGAGAGAGAGAGAGAGAGAGAGAGAGAGAGGGGAAAAGAGGGGACAUGUGAGUGUGAAUUGGUAUGGAUAGGUAGAGAGGCAGGUAAAGUGUUUCUAGAGAUUCUAUUGAGAAAAGGAGAAAAUGGGGAUGUGUGGUCAAAGUUGGUGCUUUAAUUUUUGACCUUUCUGAGGACCUGGGAAUUUUGAAGGGUCAGCACAGAUUAAUUUGGGGGUUAACCCAUUAGAGACCAAAUCAACUAUUUUGAAUAUCAUAUUAUCAAAUAUUGAAUGUGAUACUUACAAUAAGAAGCAAAAUACUUAGGUACAUAUUUGUCUAGAAUAGGAAUGUCAAUAUACUAAAUAGUCGAACCCAACUAUUAAAUCAAAUCAUUUAUAUAUAUAAAUAUAUAGAGUUGAGUUAGAAUACUCUUAAAAGCACCAAGAGAUUAGUGUUUUUGAGUUUUUAAUCCUUGGAUAGAGAAAUAUAAGGUUGAGAUGAUGAUGACAGGUUGUGGUAGGUGGAAUAGUGUUUGAUCCAAGAGCUAUUAGUAAUCAAGGAGUAAAUCUCCAAGGACUAUUAGUAAUCAAGGAGUAAAUCUAAGGGCUAGAAAUAUAAAAACACCAAAAGAGUGAUACUUCUAAAAGUAUUAUAUAUAUAUAUAUAUAUAAAAUAAAUUUUUAUGUGAGUUUGGUUUUAAGUUUGAGUUUGGUUCGAAUACAGACAAAAGCUAUAACCAAGCCCGAAUAUGUCGCGUUUUCAUCUUUUAUACCCAUAAUCGAAACGAUACUUUUUUAACAUCGGUUCAAUCAGUUCCAUUCGGAUUUGGAUUCGUAUAAAAUUUUGGUCAUUCAUACCCGUUAGCAUCCCUAAUUUAAAAAUGAGUCUUUUUGUGGGGUAAUAAUACAGCGGUCUCUUUCCAUCAUAAAUAUUUUUAAUUCUCAAACUAUCAAACUAUAAGAUAGAUGAUAUUUGGGUUCUCACAUUUUUAUUCACCAUUAUUUCUUGUUCAAUUGUUUUAAAUUGUUACUAUCAAGAUCUCAUAUUACAAUUUAAUUAAUUGAAUGAUUAGUGAUGUGGCCGAUACAUAGUAUUGUUGGGAUCGAUGACAUGUCAAUUAAAACGCAGUCAAAAAAAAAAAAAUGAUUGAGACAAAAUUUGCAACAAAUUUAUUAAGUAAAUUAAAAAAAAAGUAUAAAAUAAGAUGUUCAUGAAUCCAAACAUGACCUGAUAUUUUAUGCACUAAACCCAUCCAAGUCCUUUCGAUCGAAUUUUUUAUUUAUUGUAACAGCGAUAUGCUAAAAGAUAAUAUAUAUUUUUAGUCUAUUUAAACUUCUGUAGACACACCUUCAAGUAUCAAAACUUAAGAAAAACAAUUUAAAAAAAAACAUUCAUGUAUGAAAGUUUAAAUAUUUUUAAGGGGCAAUUGCUCAUAUACUCUUGAAAAAUUUUCGACUUUCCGAUUUACCUCUCUUAGAAGGCUAAUAUUAAAAAUACCCCUCCUAUGUUCCAACCUAUUUCUAAUAUACCCUUAGUUUAAAAUCUGUUAAAUAACUCUGUUAUCUCUGUAAAAUUAUUAUUUUGCCCUUUCAAAUAUACCCUUUUACCAUCACUUUCUUUCUUAUUUGUCCUUAAAGUCAGGAGUAUAAAAAGUAUUUUGACUUUUGGUCUUUUCCAAUAUACCCCUCUACCGUUACCAACCUUUCUUAUUUGCCUUUAAGUUAAGGGCAAAGUUGGCAUUUUAAUUUUUUUAACUGUGGUAGAUAUUUAACUCACGUUUAACUCAGGUUAACUUAACAGGAGAUAACUACGGAGGUAUUUUGCAAUAACGAUGGAACAUAUGAGGAGUAUUUUAGAAAGAAAAAAAAAGGGAGAUAAAUCGGAUAUUUUCAAAUGUAUGAAGAGUAUAUAGGUAAUUAUUCCUAUUUUUAAUGUCAAAUGUUGUAGUCACGUUAUCACCGUUAACACUUCCAUCAAAAGUUAUAAGACUAUAGUACACAAUUGAUAUUAUAUAUUUAAAUUUUUUAUACAGUAAAAUAUUUAAGGUACAGAAUAAUUAAAAUACAAAUCAUUUUUAUAAUUAAGCCUUAAUUUUAUCUCACUCUUGAUUAUUCCUUGUGCUUGGAAUACACUUAUUAUGCAUCAAUCAUUGCAUAUCUAACUAGUUGCACCUUAGUGGCAAGUUUUGGUUUUACUUAGAAGCAACACCAUAGAACAAAAUUCCAAAGCAAGUUAUUGUAGAUAUAUGGUGCAUGUUGUUGCUUUUGCUUCAUUUCUGACGAUAGGGCAUCUGAGUUGACGAUCGGUAUGAUUAAACCUAAUAUACUUUAUUUGAACUUAUUGUAAAUAGUGUCGUUGCUUUCCCCUCAUAGUGAUCAAACAGUGGUAAAUUUACUUUAUAUGAGCCAUUAAAAAUUAAAUUGCUAAUUUUGAGAUCACUUAGAUGUUAAAAAUUAUAAAAUUCAGUUCCUAAAAAGAGUUCAAAGAGUCUAGACUAAAUUCAACGGCGCAGAUCAUUGAUUGAGAUGCCCUAUUGUUGAAAAUGAUACGCAAAUAAACCGCCUGCAUUUACUUCUAAAAAUAUUCUAGUUUUGUUCGUUAUUUCGCAAGUUUAUCGGAUGCAGUCCCGCGUGCUGAAAAAUUUUGCGUAGGAGAUUUGUUGUGCCAUCUACUUCUACAAGAAUUCUAUCUUUUCUCCUAAUUUCAAACGUUCAUCAAAUGCAAUUCCGAGUGCAAUUUUUUUCUUUUUUUUUUUUUAUAUGCGGUGUAAUGCUGAAGGGUCGUUUAGUUAGAUGUAAUUAUAAAUAUAAUAUAGUUGGAGACACAGUUGAAAAAUAGCAGUUAUAACUACAUGCAACUUCUUUUAUUUGAUAUAGAAAAAAAUAUUGCAGUUAUAAAUAAUUUGUUUGGUUGUGUAGAGUUGAGAAUUGAAUUUAUAAAUCUAAUGUAGAAGAAAAAGAUAUCUUUUAUUUAAAAAUUAUUUGGAGAGGAACUCCAGCAGGAACCCGAGGUUUGGGUCCAAAUCUAGAGAUGGUCGAAAGGAGGAUGAUUUACCUGCUACUAUUUUGACUAUGUCUAAAACUACUGCUACUUUUACUAUUUCGUUCAGCUGAAAUGUAGAAAUUGUUGGAUGUGACCCACGUGAUUUAUUCAAGACGAUCUAUAAAGAUACAUACAGUAGGUCUAUUUAAGUCGAUCUAUAAAGAUACGGUAGAUCGAACGAUUAGAAUAUAUCUGAACACGUUCUUGAUGGACGGACGUCCCGGUUUAACCCUAAUUCAAUUUUCUGUGACGGUUUCAUCUCCGGAGAUAAGGGAAUUAGACUCGAAACUUUUCGUUUUUUUGCGGAUUACGAACGAGAACGAAUCACAAGUAAGAAUCGUCGUCUAUAAUUCAGAUAUUAAAAUCGAAAUCUUAACAGAAAGUACGAUCUUAGUUUCUAUAAAGUUUCAACAGAAACUACUACUACUACUAACCUACUCUCAGGUACAAUACGAAAAGCUGAAAUGUAAAAGCUACUACUACUGCUAUCCUACUCUUGGUUGGAAUACGAAAGCUACUGCUAUUUUUGAAUUGCCUGAAUAAUUGAUGUAUUAUUGUUUUUUAUGAUGAAACAUUUAAUUUGACGAUCAAGAACAAGAUCAAUACGUCUGAUUUGAAAUAAAUUUUUAUUAUCUUUUUUUUUAAAGAAUUUUAUUUUUAACCGGUCAUUUUGAGACUGUUCGUUCACUAGGCAAACAAAGCCAAAAAAUUAUGAGAAUUAAUUUUUAGGUAGUUUCAAUUCUGUAAUUCAUGUAUACGCCCGAUUUGAAAUAAAUUUGAAAUAAAUUUUUUAGUGCCUUUUUUUUGAGAAUUUUAUUUUUAACCGUUCGUUUUGAGACUGUUCACUCACUAGGCAAACAAAGCCAAAAAAUUAUAAGAAUUAAUUUCUAGACUAGAUAGUUUUAAUACUGUAGAUCAUAUAUAAUGGAGUCGAUCGCCGAAUCGGAUGUCUCAUUAUUACAAAUGAGUUAAUUUCAUACAUGUCUCUGCAAAUAUAGUAAAUGAUAAAUAUAUUUCUGCAAAGUUCAACUUUCAUAUAUUGUCUUUUCAAAAAUUCUAAUAUUUUCAAAUAUGUUUCUCUAAUUUGUUACUGUUAAAGAACUGUUUAUAUUUUUCAAUUUUACCAUCACAAAUAUAUUCAUGCAAAAACCAUAAUAGUAUAAUAUAAAAAGAUAAAAAUAUCAAAAAUUAAUUAGGAUAAAAUAUUUAAUCUAUGGUUAACUAAAUUUUUCUAGCUGAUUCUAACUGUAAGGUCAUAUUUGAAAAUAUCAAAAUUUUUAUAAAAAUAAUAUAUAAAAAUUAAAUUUUAUAAAAAAAUAUAUUUAUUAUUUACUAUAUUUAUAGGGAUAUUGUAUAAAAUUAACUCUAUAAAAAACAACUUAAAAGUAGGAAAAAAAAUUCGUGUCGCAUAUGUAAAUUAGCACGAAUCUCAAAGCGACAAUCCCCGCUAAAUUUUUGUCCCGUACUAAUUCCAAAACAAUAAUUUCUCGUCCACCAAAGCGCACGUGGCGGCGACGUGGACACGAAGCAAAGCCAUUUGAACACCACACGAAUUUAUUUUCAACUCCGUGUUUUUUUUUUUCUUUUUUUUUUUGUAUAAUAUAUAUAGAUUUUGUACUCUACCUGCAUAUACAUUGAAUGCGUGCAUGUUCCGCACAUAGUUUCUAGUAAUAAUUAAGUUCACAAUUGUGGCUAAAUCCCAUUUAAUGAAGUUAUUAUUAUUAAUAGCCUUUAUUAUUGACUUUUUUUUUAUUUUUUUUUAUUAUUUGCAUGGAUUGAAAGAAUAGAUAAUUACUUAUAUAUAUCUCUCUCAAAACUUUUGAAAUAUUAUAUAUAUAUAUAUAUAUAUAUAUAUAUAUAUAUAUUGUGCGCUUGGUAUGCUUAUUAAAAGCACGGAGCCCCUGUGCUUCUAAGUUGCUUUCGAUAUCGGACUUUCGAUCGCACGAUCCGGGUCCGUUAGAGUUGUAUCUAGAGUAUUUGAAGUACUAAAAAUAAAUUUUAUGGUUUUUCGGUAUCAUUUGCCUAUGAUCGAAGGGGUCUAAAUCAAAAUUUUAAUGGCCGUGGUGAGCAGUUGCAAGUUAACGGUGUAGAAAUACUCAAUCAUAUAAAAUUUUGAUAGAAAAUUCUUUUAUACCAUAUAAACAGAGCAAUAACUUUGAUCUAAAAUAUUUUAAUGUCAUAUCAUCAUAUUUUGUAAGAUUUUUAUUUUCAGUCGGUGCAUUUUGAGCCAUUCGAUCACUAGACAAAUGAUAUCGAAAAUCGCAAAAUUUAUUUUCUAGAUACUUCAAAUACUCUAGAUCAAGUCUAAUGGAGCGAUCGUCAAUUUCGAAAGUCGAACAUCGAAACAAGUAUGAAGCACGGAGCCCUCCGUGCUUCAUAGCAUCCUUAGCCGCACUCUAUAUUAUAUAUAUAUAUAUAUAUAUAUAUAUAUAUAUAAAGUGAGCUAGAAUACUCUCGAUAUAAACGGGCGGUUUUACUAUCGAGCCGUUUUUCGAUUAAAGAGCUCCAAUAUUGACGAUCGCUUCCGUUAAAUAUGAUCUAACAUUUAAGACUACCUAGAAUAAAUUUACGCACUUAUCGAUAUUGUUCAUGUUUACGCAUCUAGUGAACAAAAAUAAUGAAUGAGCUAAAUGAAUAUCUUUAAGAAAAUGAUGAUAGGAAGUCUUAAAUCAAGACUCAAGAGUAUAACGAUCUCUGUUUUUAAAUAGUUUAAAGAAUUUUCUAACAAAAAAUUCAAUGAUUUUGGAUAUCUUUCACCGUUAAACGAGAAAACAUCUCUUAUUCACCCAUUAAAUAUAUAAAUUUUGAAACGCCUUUGAAUCAUUAGGACAAAUGAUUCGAAAAGAUUGAAAUUGAGUAUUCUAAACACUUCAGUGUAUAGAUAUGUUUCAAUCGAGCCGAUCGUCAAUUUGGAAGUUUUCUAUCAUACGACACAACUCGAUAAUACACACAUCCAUUUACUAUCGAGAUUAUUCUAGCUCAAGCUAUAUAAUAUAUAUAUAUAUAAUAAUAUAUAUAUAUAUAUAUUAUAUAUGUAUAUAUACAUAUAUAGAAUUGACGUAGAAAUCUUUACAACCGUAAUUACGAUCCCAUGAAUGCUAAUAGGUUUUUAGCCAUUGCAUCUACUCCUAGAUACUAUAGGUCCUUAUGGAGUCAAACCUUUCUACCUACCACCACUACACCACCUACUAUCAUCUAUCUCAACCUCACAACUCUCCAUUCCAAUGGCUAACAAACUCAAAAGCACCACUCACAUAAUACUUUUUACAAGUAUUCUAGCUCAACUCUAUAUAAUUAUAUAUAUAAUAAAUAUAUAUUAUAUUAAUAUAUAUAUAUAUAUAUAUAUAUAAAUAAUAUAUAAUAAUGAAUUAUGCAUACUGAUACCUAUCAUAGUACCAAGCUGUGAUACUAAUUGGUUUUGCUGUUGGAUGAAAAGGAUGUCGGUUAAGAUAUAGUGCUCCCCUAGGUGGAUGAGUGUUGGUUUAAUGUAUAACAUCUACAAUUGGGUGGAAAUUGAUUAAAGGGUAUCUAACGGUAGAAAAACUCUAUAGUACCAAAGGCCUUGAUAUUAUCAUAGUAUACGUACGACUCCUAUCAUAUACUAUAUAUUUAUACUAUAUAUCUUAGAGUCGGCUGCUAUCUAUUAAAUAGCACAAGCACUUGGUACUACACAGAUUUUUACCGUUUAGAUCUACCUUUUAUAUUUUCACUCGUUAGAGUCAUACUAUUCACCCAACCCCACCACUUCAACCCUAAGGGCCACAUCAUCUAAACGCACAUACUCUUAACCAAUGGCUAAAACUUGGUACACCAAUAACUUGUAACUAUCUAAUAGUUAUAUUAGCACUGUUCCCUACUUAUCACUAGUAUCUCUAUAUAUAUAUAUAGUAGCUUGGCUGUAUCGCUUAUGGAAGCCACGAGCCCCUCCGUUAUUUCAACUUUGUUUUUCGAAUGUUGCGCGACUAUUCGAAUGCGAGCGAUCGUCCGUUAGAGUUGAUCUAGGUAUUUGAAGUACCUGAAAAUAUUUUGUGGAUUUUCGAUAUCAGUUCUGCCUCAGUGUCGAAGGGUGCCUCAAAAUCACAUAAAAUUUAAUACCACGGUGAGCCAGUUGCAAGUUUAACGGUGUAGAAUAUAUCCAAAUCCGAUUGCAAAUUUUGAUAGAAAAUUCUUUAUUACACAUAUAAAACAGAUGUACUUUAUGCCAAAGCAUAUUAAUUUUGAUCUAAAUUAUAAUGUCAUAUCAUCGAAAACAAAGUCGAAGCACGAGCCAUCCGUGUUUCCAUAAGCAACCACACGCGACAUAUAUUGAAUCAAUAUAAAUACCUUAUAUAUUAUACUAUAUAUAUAUAAUAUAUAUAUAUAUAUAUAUAUAUCAAAUAUAUACAUGGUAUAUUUCUUCGUUAUUCAAUAAUAAUCACGCCGUUAGUAUCCGCUAAAUAAUCUCGGGCUAAAAUUAACUGGAUUAAAUUUCUAUCAGAGUUAAAAAUAAUUAAAAUAUCUCUUUUGUCUCUAAAAGCACAAAUAAGAAAAGUUGAUGAUUAGAAUAGUAUAUUUGAAAGAAAAAAAAAAGUUAAAAUAAUUUUUUUGUUUCUUACUGAUAGAUAAAUAAAAAAAGUUGAUGACGAUAGAAAAAUAUAUUUGAAAGGAUAAAUAGUAAUUUUACAGAGAUACCGGUUGUUUCUAAUCAUUCACUAAUAGAAUAUAACUUCAUAAGUAUAUUUGAAAAAGCUUGAAACGUUAAAAAAGUUUUUUUUUAUAUAUUUGGUUUCUAAGCAGGGUAAAAAAAAAAAAAAGGUUAGAAUUUUUUUUGAGUAUAUAAGUAAUUGCUCAUGAAAGAAAAUGACAAAGAUAAAUUGCACCUCUAGUCCAUCCAUUUUAGUUCUCAAACUUUAAAUUCAAUAAAUAAAUGCGAAACUUUUAAAAUUAAGGCCUCGCUUGAUAUUGCUGUGAUUUUAUUAUUUUGUAAAAUAAAAUUUUUAUAUAAAAUGGUAUAGUAAAGUAUAUUGAUUUGCUUACAAUUCUUAUAUUAAAAGUAUUUAUCUGGCAAUAAAAAAUUUGAGAGUAACAUUUUUUUUUUGUUUUGAAUAUUUUUUUUAUCCAAUCGAUUAUUUCUUAUUAUAGUUGAAAAUAUUAUGUUUCUAAAUUUUAUAAAAAUAAUAAUUAAUGCUUUUAACUUUUUGAAUCUUUUAUCUGCAAAAAUGCGGUAGAAAUGGAUAUUCUCUAUAAUUUUUUUAAAAAAAGUAAAUUUACGCUGCUUUUCCGAUGAACCAAACAUGAAACACCACUAUAAAAUUAGUGUUAAAAUUUUUAAAAAAAGGGAAAAAAGCAAUGAUGCUAAACAAGGCCUAAUUAUUUUACUUUAUUCCUUACACAUAUUUACUACAGGAAAAAAAUAUAUAAUAUACAAUACACAGAUAAACGGAUGAAGCGGAUAUAGAAUUUAUUUUUUUAUUUUUUUCAGAAUAAAGAUAGAAGCGAAACAAUUUAAAGAGUUCAGAAUCUCAAUUGCGAAACUUAUGAUUUACUCAAAAGAAAAAUAUAUCUAUCAUGACAAAGAACAAAGGAUCGAUACUCAAUUUGGAAACAUGAGCUAAAGUGACAAUAAAAAAAAGAUACAUAUAUAUAAUUAUUAAUAAAUAGAAUAAUUCCAAACAACUAAUACACAAAAUUAAAAAGAAAGGGAAAAAAAAAGUAAUAUAUAUAUAUAUAUAUAUAUAUGGUUUUUGUCCAACAAAGAAUAAGCUGGCGAUUGCGAGGAUAUAUAAAUACACAAACGUACUUCGUACGUUGGCAUCCUCAAUUAGCCCAUGCUGUUUACUUAUCUAUAAAUUAAAUAUUAAUAAAAGCUUAUAAAAUGUCACUAUCUCUCAUUCAAUGAAGAAAAAUGAGAAAUUGACAUGAUUUCUCUUUUUAUUAUUAUUAUUCUUUGUCUACAUUGCACCUUUUUGUUCUAAAAAUUUUAGGGUCCCGACAUUUUGGUUCUUAAAUUGUAAUUUAUUUUAAUUUUUGUCUCAACCUUUUUAAGUUAUUGUAAAUAAGUCCUACAGUUCAAUUUAGUUAAGUGGAUACUGAUAGUAACACAUCAGCAGUACUAUAUUAAGGACGCAUCGCUACUUAAUUAGCAAACUAAAUUGGACCGUGGGAUUUGAUGAUAAUAAUUUAAAAUAUUUGAGCCAGAAAUUGUAAUAAAUAAAAAUUUGAGGAAAAAGUGUCAUGUGUCUCAAAGUUUGAGGACCAAAAUUGCAAUUUAGCCCUAUACAAUUUAGGAAAAACUUAAAAUUAGCCCUUAUGUGGUUUAACAUACUUUUAUUUUGUUAUCUUGUUGUUUGAAAAGUGUUGCUUUGCCUUACUGUGAUCUUCUCUUUAUUUCACUGCAAAAUUCUGUAGUUAAACAAAAUAAUAAAAUAAUAUAUUUUACAAACAAGUGUUACAGUUUGCCAUGAAGUGGUUUAUAUAGAAUAUUCAUUUUCCUAUUUUAUGAUUUGCAAGUUUUCCUAUUUGAGUACACCAUUGUUUGGAUUGUAAGCACUAACCAACUAUUUUAAAAGCACACAUGAUGAUACAAAGGGCUUAUUCAUCGUAUUUAAAGACUUAGCGGCAAUGCUCAUAUACUUCGACUUUACUCAACUCAUAUAAAUGAUAUGCCUAUUGUUGGGUCUCUUACUGUUAGGUUUAUUAUGAACCACAACUUCACUCUACUUAUUAGACUUAUCCAGCCAAACUUAUUUAGUCUCCCGGGCCAAUUGUCAUGGAGCAAAAGGAUGAACCUAUUUUCUUUCCAAUUUCUCCUCACUUUCUCACCCUAAUCACCCAUCAAAGUUGACGGAUGGUUAGAAACUUAAGAGCACAAUGGCUACUGUACUCCUAAUAGCAUAGUAGCCCUACUUUCUCUCUCUAUAUAUAGAGAGAGAGAAAGAGAGAGUGAGUAGAGCUACUAUGCUAUCGAACGUAUAGAAGAUUUGGUGCUUCAACUUUUUGGUCCUUAGAUCAGCCUCUUUAAUCAUUUUUAACUUUUGGAUUAAUACUAUUACACUGUAGGGAUCACUUAACCCUAGGAGUACUACUCAACUCUAGGGUGGACUGCAAUCAUUCCAACCAUAUAAUUCUUGAUCAAAGGGUAAAAAAUCGGAAGAAUCAAAUUCUCUAUGCUUCCGAUAGCACAGUAGCACUAUACUCUCUCUCUCUCUCUCUAUAUAUAUAUAGAAAGAGAGAGAGAGAGAGAGAGAGAGAGAGAGAGAGAGAGCAAGGUUAGUAUACUAUUAGUAGCACGGAGGCCACCAUACUAUCAAAUUGUUUUCAAUGAUGCAGCUUUCAAAUCGACGAUCGGUUUCGUUAGAGUUGAUCUGUACUAUUAAAGUAUUUGGAAACUAAAUUUAAUAACUUUUUGACAUCAUUUAGCUAGUGAUCAAAAGGUCUCAAAAUUGACAAUUUUAAUGGUCGAUGUGAUGCAUUUGUGAAUUUAACUGUGUAAAACAAUAUAAAUCUGAUAAAAUUUUUAUAGAAAAAUCUUUUAACUAUUUAGAGUAAAAUUAGUACCUCCGAUCUAAAAUUCAAGUCUUUUAUCAUCAUUUUUUAUUAGAUUUUUAUUUUUAGCCGUUCAUUUUUAGACUACUCGUUUGAUAGGUAAAUGAUGUCGAAAAAUUAUAAAAUUUAGUUUUCAAAUAAUUUCAAUAGUGUAGAUCAAGACUAACAGAACUGAUCGUCGAUUUGGUAGCUGCAGUAUUAAAAAUAACUUGGCAGCACAGAAGCCUCUGUGCUACCGAUAAUAUACCAGUCUUUCCCUCUCUCUCUCUCUCUCUCUCUCUCUCUCUCUCUCCAUCCUCAAUCAUCCACAACGCAUGUUGCUUCCCUUAUGUCGAACGCGUGUGUAACGACCCAGCCCACCAGUAACAAUAACUCAUUGGGCCCAACGACCAGCCCAAAAUACUUAAGCCCGGUUAUUAUUACUAGUGUCAAAGUCUUUUAUAUACCCAAUCACAUCUCCAUUCCUAUCCGAUAUCUAAGUCUCUUAUAUACCCAAUCACAUCUCCAUUCCUAUCCGAUGUGGAAUUAUUGAGGUGUGACAGACUCCCCCCAUUAAGGUCCUGACGUUCUCGUCAGUCCAAUCACACACACAGCCCAAGAUCACCAGGCGAUGUGAGACUCGUCUCGCUAGCCCGUCAUCCAGACACUGGCUCAGCCGAGACUCGCCACACAUUUUCGGUUGGUGAACUGACUCUGAUACCAAAUAUAACGACCCAGCCCACUAAUAAUAAUAACUCGUUGGGCCCAACCAUCAGUCCAAAAAGUUUAAGCCCAGUUAUUAUUACUAGUGUCUAAGUCUCUUAUACCUAAUCACAUCCCUAUUUUUAUCCGAUGUGGAAUUAUUGAGGUGUGACAGCAUGUUGCUUUUCCAUUCUAUUUUCUUUAUAUUUUUUAUUUUGCUAAAAAAAAAGGUUUAUAAGGAAGGAGUGAGAGAAGAGAUUAUAAUAAUGGCAAAUUGGAUUGGGUUUUAAAGAGAAAGAAGAUGAGGAAGAAGAUGACCAUUAAAAUUUUUUUACCAGUUGGGGCUUUGAAGGGACAAAUUUGUGAUGGUAAAAUUGAGAUUUCAUUUAUCUGUUAUUAAAAAAUAAAUAAUUCUCUAACGACAACAAACCAGAGGAACAAAUAUGAAUAUCACUAGACUUUUACAGAUAUAAGAGUUAAAAUUUGAACUUUAUAGAAAUAUAUUUGAUAUUCGAUAUGUUUACAGCGUUGUAUGCAAUUAAUCCAAACAAAGAUGUCUACUUAAAUGAGAGAUAAUUAAAUAAGACUAAGAGAUGUAUUGUAUUAAAAUUCAGGCCUUUCACUCUGUUACUAUGUGAAACAAUCGAUAACUCUAAAAACUGAAGCUAUAAGUGAAUAAAUAUUGUAUAUAUUUAUUCAAUAAUUAUGUUAUGAAAAAAAAAAUCAGUUAGAUAGUAAA